rnacentral:tRNA from 1 species
GGGCCUAUAGCUCAGCCUGGUUAGAGCGACUGACUCUUAAUCAGUAGGUCGCGAGUUCGAAUCUCGUUGGGCCCG